CUCGUAGGUGGCCAACUAAGUCAGACGUGAAAUCCCCAGGCUUAACCUGGGAACUGCGUCUGAUACUGGAUGGCUUGAAUUCGGGAGAGGGAUGCAGAAUUCCAGGUGUAGCGGUGAAAUGCGUAGAUAUCUGGAGGAAUACCGGUGGCGAAGGCGGCAUCCUGGACCGAGAUUGACACUGAUGAGCGAAAGCCAGGGGAGCAAACGG
rnacentral:rRNA from 1 species